GACGAACGCUGGCGGCGUGCUUAACACAUGCAAGUCGAACGAUGAACCCGGAGCUUGCUCCGGUGGAUUAGUGGCGAACGGGUGAGUAACACGUGAGUAACCUGCCCUUGACUCUGGGAUAACUGCGGGAAACUGUAGUGAAUACCGGAUACGACCCUCGGCGGCAUCGCCAGGGGGUGGAAAGAAUUUCGGUCAAGGAUGGACUCGCGGUCUACCAGGUGGUUGGGGAGGUAACCGCCCACCAAGGCGACGACGGGUAGCCGGCCUGAGAGGGGGACCGGCCACACUGGGACUGAGACACGGCCCAGAGUCCUACGGGAGGCAGAGGUGGGGAAUAUUGCACAAUGGGCGCAAGCCUGAUGCAGCAACGCCGCGUGAGGGAUGACGGCCUUCGGGUUGUAAACCUCUUUUAGUAGGGAAGAAGCGAAAGUGACGGUACCUGCAGAAAAAGCACCGGCUAACUACGUGCCAGCCGCCGCCGUAA
rnacentral:rRNA from 1 species